AUGCUGGUGGUGUUCUUUUUAUGGUUUCAGCUUGUGUGGUGGCACUCACAUGUACCAAAUUGCACGUUUUCUGUGAUGUGGUAUAACACCAUGGUGAAGAAACCAUUCAGACUCCACAGACAAAAUCAUUCGGACAUGGCAGUGAACCAUUCAUUUGUUACAUGGAGUGCGGUCGACAAAUUAGUUCUUUCUAUAGUCAUCAAGGGCAACAUGAAUAACUCCAUUUUGGAACAUAAGGCUGGACAUAAUUUAAGGAAUGAAUCCACUUCCCUCAAGAAGGACAACGACCACGAGGUAUAUAUACCAUAUGUGUUGAUACCAUUUUAUUACAUUUACGAGUUCUUGUUUAUGUGUAAUUAUCGUAAAACUAGCUGGAUCAAUUUAGUCUUGUUUUGA
rnacentral:rRNA from 1 species